ACCGAAAUAGCUCAGUUGGGAGAGCGUUAGACUUAGAAUCAAAAGGUCCCUGUUUCGAUUCCGGGAUUCGGCA
rnacentral:tRNA from 1 species